rnacentral:lncRNA from 1 species
UCCAAAGGUGAUUCCACCACCAAUCCCUAUUUACAAACCAAAACCCCCAAUUCCGAAAGUGCUUCCACCACCAAUUCCCAUCUACAAACUAAAACCCCCAAUCCCGAAAUUGCUUCCACCAAUUCCCAUCUACAAACCAAAACCACCAAUCCCGAAGGUGCUUCCACCACCGAUUCCCAUCUACAAACCAAAACCCCCAAUCCCGAAGGUGCUUCCACCAAUUCCCAUCUACAAACCCAAACCCCCAAUCCCAAAGGUGCUUCCACCACCAGUUCCCAUCUACAAACCAAAACCCCCAAUCCCAAAAUUGCUUCCACCAAUUCCCAUCUACAAACCAAAACCCCCAAUCCCGAAAUUGCUUCCACCAAUUCCCAUCUACAAACCAAAACCACCAAUCCCGAAGGUGCUUCCACCACCGAUUCCCAUCUACAAACCAAAACCCCCAAUCCCAAAAGUGCUUCCACCACCAAUUCCCAUCUACAAACCAAAACCCCCAAUCUCGAAAGUUCUUCCCCCACCAAUUCCCAUCUUUAAACCAAAACCUCCAAUCCCAAAAGUACUUCCACCACUAGUUCCGACUUACAAACCAAAACCUCCAAUCCCAAAAGUGCUUCCACCAUUAAUACCUAUCUACAAACCAAAGCCACCAAUCUUUAAGCUACUGCCGCCACUUCCAAAGAUCCCACCAUUCCCCAAGAAGCCAUGCCCACCUUUACCAAAGCUUCCUCCGCUCCCCAAGAU